rnacentral:rRNA from 1 species
GCAGUCGAACGGCAGCACGGGGGCACCCUGGUGGCGAGUGGCGAACGGGUGAGUAAUACAUCGGAACGUGCCCAGUCGUGGGGGAUAACGUAGCGAAAGCUACGCUAAUACCGCAUACGAACUCUGGUUGAAAGCGGGGGAUCGCAAGACCUCGCGCGAUUGGAGCGGCCGAUGGCAGAUUAGGUAGUUGGUGGGGUAAAGGCCUACCAAGCCGACGAUCUGUAGCUGGUCUGAGAGGACGACCAGCCACACUGGGACUGAGACACGGCCCAGACUCCUACGGGAGGCAGCAGUGGGGAAUUUUGGACAAUGGGCGCAAGCCUGAUCCAGCCAUUCCGCGUGCAGGAUGAAGGCCCUCGGGUUGUAAACUGCUUUUGUACGGAACGAAACGCGCUGAGUUAAUACCUCGGCGUAAUGACGGUACCGUAAGAAUAAGCACCGGCUAACUACGUGCCAGCAGCCGCGGUAAUACGUAGGGUGCAAGCGUUAAUCGGAAUUACUGGGCGUAAAGCGUGCGCAGGCGGUGAUGUAAGACAGGUGUGAAAUCCCAGGGCUUAACCUUGGAACUGCAUUUGUGACUGCAUCGCUGGAGUGCGGCAGAGGGGGGAUGGAAUUCCGCGUGUAGCGGUGAAAUGCGUAGAUAUGCGGGAGGAACACCGAUGGCGAAGGCAAUCCCCUGGGCCUGCACUGACGCUCAUGCACGAAAGCGUGGGGAGCAAACAGGAUUAAAUACCCUGGUAGUCCACGCCCUAAACGAUGUCAACUGGUUGUUGGGUCCUUC